AUGUGUUGUCGGCAAGAAUGCUUCUUUGCUUUGUAGGAGAGGCAAAACGUUGUAGCCCUCUCUCAACAAGGGUUGAUUGGCAGCAUCUAAAGGUUGUCAAAGAAACCCAAACAUCCUUCAGCUCCGUGGUUCCCAGCUGGAAAGGCUAUUUAGCUCUGGACAAGAAGCUCUACAGAUGCCCUCAGCUUUCAGAUUCUGCCAUUUCUGGACUUCACUGAUCUGAAGAAGGAAAGUUGGCGCUGGCUGAUUGAGACCCUGAAGAGUACGAUGGGUUGCACAGUUGGCAAGAGCAUCAAAGUUGUGGAGGCAGCUGAUACACCUGGAGAGCAGCCUAAUGCCAAAGAGGACGACCAAGCCGUGGAUUCAGAAGUAAAGUCAGAUUCCACCCAAUGUUCCUCCGCUAAAGAUAAGACCCAUACAAGCUGAAGCAUGGAAGCUGUCGUCUCCAAAACAAGGUGAUGAAGCAAGUACAUUGGUUAAUUUGCACCCAAGAUGACAAAAACCUUCUAUUCUUGCCAACUUGAGUCAAUGACUUAAUUCCUAAGGAUGUUUGAGGAAUCUUUCUGAAAUUCAGUUUAUAUUUCCACGUGUGUGCAUGUGUCACUUUAACUCAGAGUAAGUAGUCAAAGAAUAUUUGGCUACUAUAAAAAUGAAUUAAUUUUGGUACUAGAUUUACCUUAAAAAAUGAAAUUUAGAAUUGUGCUGAAGUUCCUGAACAGAGAGAAGAUAUGAAGAAAUUCCCAACAAAUGUUGAUGUUCCUCCUUGAGCAGAAGAUACAAAGUUUUCCAAGGGAUUUUCCAAAAUGACUAGAGUCCUAUCUCAAGAUGGUUUCAUGUCUCUCACAAUUAUUCCAAUUAAGGGUUUUACUUAAAACUUAAUUUAAAAGAGAAUGGAGUUAUUUGUUUUGGAAGAACCUAAUUAAGGAACUUUGAGAGAAGUUAAAGGACUGUUGGUUACAUUAGAGCAAAUAAUUCAGCUAGUGCAAUCUUCUGGAUUGGGUUUGAUAACUGACUUGAAAAGGUGCAUAUCAAAUAUAAAUUACUAUCUUUGAUCAAGGAUGGAAAAUACUUUGACAUGCUUUCUCAAGCUCCAUGUGUGCCAGUUGUAAAAUUAGAAGUAUAUUUGUUCAAAGAAACAAUGUGUUAUUUUGGAAAACCAAUUUAGACUUUGUUUUCUGUUUUCCUAAGUGUUAUGAUUCAAUUAUGUCUUUAAUGAAAUGUAUAUAUGUGAAUGAGAAGGUUGCUAAUCUUUUAAUAUUGUGCUUAAAUAGUUUGGGUAAAUCUCUACCCUGUGUGGCGCUGAAUUGCUCUAAACUUUGGAACUAAAUCAUGUUCAAUAGCUAAAUGUCUGUUUGGCUUUUUAAUUAAUGCACAUCUACCAUCCCUUGUUAAUAAUAAAAAAAACCUUGCAAAUA